CUUUGUAAGUGUGGUCUAAUGAGUUUCACCAAAGAUUUCCCGCAAUUUCUUAAUUAAUGAAAUAAUUCCUCCCAUUUUGAAAGGGAAAAUAAAGGUUUCGGCUAAGUUCUAUUUUGAUUCGCGAUUACCCGUUCCUUCCCCUCCCCCCAAAUUUAUCUUUAUUCUUUCCCAAAAUUAAUCUGCUUACUAACAAUGGAUCUCAGAGACGGAAAUCGGGAACUUCCAUCGGUUGCUGCUUCUAAUUGUUGGAAACCUUAAAAAAAAUUUAGGGCCGUUGAACUUUAAUUUGUGUGAGUACUUUCCUCUCUUCUCUCUUGGGUUUUCGAUUUCCAUUUCAACUAAUGUAUGUUCUCUUUAUUUUUUAGCUAUUGCAUUGUAUGCUUCUUAUUUUUCUCUAUUAUGUAAAAUUUUUGUUGUCUCCUCGCUCAUUCUAGAAUUCUCUUUCUGAUUUUGCUCUUAUUGUGUCGUAUUCUUGUUAUCGUCUCGCUAUUUCUGGUUACCCUUGCUGCUCUAAGGAAUUCGGCAAACCUAGUCUUUGGUGAAUUCAAGUUGGAACAGGAACUCUAACCGACUAAGCAACUCUAUAUAAAGGAGCUGUUAAGUGUUAUUUAUAGUCAGGAAAAAUCUCAAUAUAGUCCAUAUGUCAGCUUGUUCAUUUUUACAAGUAAUUUCCAUACCAUCAUUUGAUGGCUAUUGAAACUUUGACUUCUUCAAACCUUCACUGGCUAUUCAAGUUGGAAUAUUUUUAGCCAUUGUAAGACCCUUUAAUGACAUUACCUCACUGUUUGUUUUGUUCAUUUUAUUUUGCCCCUUCAUAAGGGUUUGUUUUCGAUAAUCCAUCAUAUAUAGGUAGCCGCAGAACCAGCUUUGGCAUUGGCAGGAGUGAAUAAUGAAGAAGAUUUUACUUGGGUAUUUAUUCAAUUGGCAUUCUCUACCUUCUUUACUUCAUUGUUUGCCUUGUAAGUGGGAACAAAAGAAUAGCACAGGACUUUCUAAAAUUAUGCUAGUUUCUUAUACAAUCUUUGUUAUUUAUUUAGUUACUUUGGCAAUUCCUUAAGAUGUCAGAUUCCAGCUUAUCAUAAUGACAUGUAUGAUACCUAUUGAUACAUACACUACAUUUGGGUUUAGUCAUUCUACAAUAUGAACUGUCAACACUUCUCAGCAUUUGGCUGUUUGGUUCGAACUGCUUGUAGAAAAGUUGCAUCCUAUACAAGCCACAUCCAGUUAGGAAUAGAAAAAAAAUAAAGUACAAGAGUUUAAUGCAGAAUGACGUUUUAAUAUGUAUUGUCCAGUUAGUGGAGCUGCGCAUGGGCCAAUAUUUUCCUAUGAAAGCAAUGGAUAACAAUACAAUGCUUAUUGAAACAAGAAAAGGAGAAAAUUAUAGCAUCAAAAGCAUUAUUGCUCCUUAGUUUUAUAUUAGCUUUUGUCAAUGAGCAGACAUCUUCUUUUCUCAAUUGUAAUUUUGUUUGCUUCUUCUUGAUUCAUGUUAAUGAAAUCAUUUUACCUCACGAAAAAAAGAAGAACAUAAUGCUUAACCAGUGGUUGAUGGUUUGCUAGUCAUAGGAGAUUCUAUUUGUGAAUGCUGAACUGGCGAUUGAUAUGUUGCUUUACUUAUACCAGUUGCAUCUUCUCUGUGUAUUUUUUUCUUAUUUUCUCUAUAUUAAACAGUCUCUUUUGUAUUGAUUGUCGGACGAAAAUGAUCCGUACUUUGAAUUCCUACCCUCUGUGAUUCUUAGUUAUCUUAGUUUAUGAAAGAUGAUACUUUCUAUUACAAGCAGUUAUACGUAGCAUAAUGUACUUCAUAUUUUUAAGAGAAUCAAUUGAUUAUCAUUUUAGUCUAUUAAUAUAUUCUUGAUGUGGAUACAUUCUUUGAUGGUAGAUAGUAGUUUUGUAUGAUUUAUUCUAAGAUUUAUACAGUCUUACCACACUCAAGGAUGCUUCGAUUGCUGAACGCAAAGUGAGUAAUAACAAGCAUUUGACCUUCACGAGGAACCUGCAGGAUUGAGAGGUAUGGGGAGGCAAAGAUACUAAAUAGAACAAAGAGAUUACAAUUAGGGAACUUAAGGCCCAGAAACAUUCAGAAGUUUUUGCUGGUUUGAACAAGGAAAGCUCACCUACUGCUUAGAUUAUUGGGUUGGUCAAGCUUAUGAAAAUGGAUCAGUUACAAAAUUACGAGAUUGAUGUGAAGGGUUCUAAGGCCUAAGGGGAUCGCAAAUGGAGUUUCUAAUUUAUACUAGCAUCAGUAGUAUAAUGUGUUUAAGGUGUUAUUCGUGAUAGAAUGUAUCUUAUUUUGUAAAGUUCAUCUCCGGUGGCGACCUUUGAAAAUUUUGCUUUAUUAGUUAAUUUAGUAAGUACAUGAUAUAUAUAUUUCUUUUGCGAAGUUCAUUGCAAGUGUAUGGACUUUGAAUCUUUUCUUUUUGUUUAUUAGUUAAUAUAGUGUUUGAGAUCUUCAUACUUUA